rnacentral:piRNA from 2 species
UGAGAACUUUGUGGCUCUAAUGAUUAGAAGU